rnacentral:rRNA from 1 species
UACGUAGGGUGCGAGCGUUGUCCGGAAUUAUUGGGCGUAAAGAGCUCGUAGGUGGUUUGUCACGUCUGCUGUGAAAUCCCGAGGCUCAACCUCGGGCCUGCAGUGGGUACGGGCAGACUGGAGUGCGGUAGGGGAGAAUGGAAUUCCUGGUGUAGCGGUGAAAUGCGCAGAUAUCAGGAGGAACACCGGUGGCGAAGGCGGGUCUCUGGGCCGAUACUGACGCUGAGGAGCGAAAGCCAGGGGAGCAAACGGG